ensembl:lncRNA
AUAAAACCGUUUUAGCGCUCUGUUUACGGUUGCCAAGCACCAAGGUUCGUAUAGAAAACGGAAGCGUUGGCCAUUUGCUGAAAGUUAUUCGGUGAUCACACUAGCAAACAUUAGCAAUAAAUAAAUAAAUAAAUAGAAUUUUGAUAACACUUUAGUAAAUAUGGCAAACCCUAAAGAAAAAGACCCUGUGGACAUAGUUCACCAGAAUGCUAUUCAUGUCGAGACAAUACUAAAGGAGCUGAGAUACCACUGAGUUUAACAUUAACCCCUUCAAGAAACGUGAGAGCAGAGCUUCACUUGUAGUACAGUAUCUAUGUCUCUGUAUUUGGCUAAAUAUGUAAAAGAGCCUCUUUGAGUUCACAUUCUGACUGACAAGCCAAUGUCCAACAUCACCUACAGAAAAGAAGAGGACCCUGCUUUCAUCCAAGCCAUACACAGGGCCUGUCUGGAGCCCACAAAAAAGUACUCUCACCCUCAGACUGAAGCUAUAGGAGCGACAGGAUGGUUAUCCAGUCCUUUAGCUUUGUGCAGUAAUGGAGCAUGCAGUCUUUCUCACACCUCCUUAUUCGCUCACAGACACAUACACAAACAAACACACUGUCACGAAGACCAUGUAUCCAGGUAGGGAGUUUGAGCUGUUAAAGAAGCAGAUGGAGGAGAAGGAUGACAGACAGAUUCAGGACACACCUGUCAGUUGAGAUAUAGUCCGGCCUGAGGAUUGACACACAGAUCGUACAUAUGAUUAUUUAUCAUCCUGAAUGUGUUAAAAAGAAAUGCAAUUUGCAUCAAUGUUUUGAAAUAAAAGAGGUUGUUACAUUCUGUGAUUUUACUGA